rnacentral:rRNA from 1 species
UCAAGAAGUUACUAAGGGCGCACGGGGGAUACCUUGGCUCUUAACGGCGACGAAGGACGUGAUAAGCUGCGAUAAGCCUGGGGGAGCUGCAAACGAGCAUAGAUCCCAGGAUUUCCGAAUGGGGCAACCCAUCAUACUGAAGGUAUGAUAUUCCGCUAGACGGAAAGCACACCCGGAGAACUGAAACAUCUAAGUACCCGGAGGAAAAGAAAACGAAAGUGAUUCCCUAAGUAGCGGCGAGCGAAAGGGGAGAAGCCCAAACCGGAGUUGUUGCGGCAAUUCCGGGGUUGUAGGACCACGACAUUGACUACAGAUAUCAAGCAGAACAUUGUUGGAAAGCAAGACCGUAGGGGGUGAUAGUCCCGUAGGCGACUGGUAUUUGUUACAUAGUGGGCUCCUGAGUAGCGCGGGGCACGAGAAACCUUGCGUGAAUCCGGCCGGACCAUCGGCCAAGGCUAAAUACGUUAAGAGACCGAUAGAGAACCAGUACUGUGAAGGAAAGGUGAAAAGAACCCCGAACAGGGGAGUGAAAUAGACCUUGAAACCGUGCGCUUACAAGCGGUUGGAGUCUCGCUUCGGCGGGAUGACAGCGUGCCUUUUGCAUAAUGAGCCUACGAGUUACACCUCACUAGCGAGGUUAAGGACAUGGAUGUCUGAAGCCGAAGCGAAAGCGAGUCUGAAUAGGGCGUUUAGUUAGUGGGGGUAGACGCGAAACCUUGUGAUCUACCCAUGGCCAGGUUGAAGCCCCGUUAACCCGGGGUGGAGGACCGAACCAGUUAGCGUUGAAAAGCUUUUGGAUGAGCUGUGGGUAGGGGUGAAAGGCUAAUCAAACUGGGAAAUAGCUCGUACUCCCCGAAAUGUUUUUUGGAACAGCCUCAAGGAGAGUAUGCCGGAGGUAGAGCUACCGAUAGGGCUAGGGGGCUUCACCGCCUACCAAACCCUGACGAACUCCGAAUGCCGGUAUAUAUACUUGGGAGUGAGCCCAUGGGUGCUAAGGUCCGUGGGCGAGAGGGAAAGAACCCAGACCAUCAUCUAAGGUCCCCAAAUCUAUGUUAAGUUGAUAAAACGUGGUGUGAUUGCAGAGACAGCCAGGAUGUUUGCUUGGAAGCAGCCAUUCAUUUAAAGAGUGCGUAACAGCUCACUGGUCGAGCGAUCAUGCGUGGAUAAUAAUCGGGCAUAAAACAUAGUACCGAAGGUAUGGCAUCAGUAAUGAUGGGUAGGGGAGCAUUCCUGUUGCGUAGAAGGUGUCUCGUGAGAGGUGCUGGAGCGGCAGGAAAAGCAAAUGUAGGCAUAAGUAACGAUAAAACAGGUGAAAAACCUGUUCGCCGAUAGACUAAGGGUUCCUGGUCAACGUUAAUCGGAUCAGGGUUAGUCGGGGCCUAAGGAUAAGCCGAAGGGCGAAGCCGAUGGACAUCAGGUUAAUAUUCCUGAACUGGCUGUAAUUGCGAUGGAGAGACGGAGUAGUGACACCACCGCGUACUGACGGAAUAGUACGUUAAAGCGUGUAGAUAGAUCUUGUAUAGGCAAAUCCGUACGAGAUGUCGAACGUGAUAGUACCACAAAGCUUCGGCAGCGUGGAUAGUGUGGGUAAACAGACUUCCAAGAAAAUCUUCUAAGCUUCAGAUUACAGGCACCCGUACCGUAAACCGACACAGGUAGUCAAGGAGAGAAUCCUAAGGCGCUCGAGUGAAUCACGGUUAAGGAACUCGGCAAAUUGGCCCCGUAACUUCGGAAUAAGGGGCGCCUACCCAGCGAUGGGAGGCCGCAGUGAAAAGGCUCAGGCGACUGUUUAGCAAAAACACAGGGCUCUGCAAAAUCGAAAGAUGAGGUAUAGGGCCUGACACCUGCCCGGUGCCGGAAGGUUAAGAGGAGAGGUUAGCGCAAGCGAAGCUUUGAAUUGAAGCCCCGGUAAACGGCGGCCGUAACUAUAACGGUCCUAAGGUAGCGAAAUUCCUUGUCGGGUAAGUUCCGACCUGCACGAAUGGUGUAACGAUCUGAGCACUGUCUCAACCGUGAGCUCGGUGAAAUUGUAGUAUCGGUGAAGAUGCCGAUUACCCGCUACGGGACGGAAAGACCCCGUGAACCUUCACUAUAGCUUUACAUUGAUAUUUGACAAAAGAUGUGUAGGAUAGGUGGGAGGCUAUGAACCGGUAUCGCCAGGUAUCGGGGAGCCAUCGUUGAAAUACCACCCUUCGUUUGUCGGAUGUCUAACUCCUGAAGAGGGAAGACAGUGUAUGGCGGGUAGUUUGACUGGGGUGGUCGCCUCCAAAAAAGUAUCGGAGGCUUCCCAAGGUACCCUCAGCACGCUUGGUAACCGUGCGUAGAGUGCAAUGGCAUAAGGGUGCUUGAUAGUGAGACAGACAAGUCGAGCUAGGACGAAAGUCGGGCAUAGUGAUCCGGCGGUUCCGCAUGGAAGGGCCGUCGCUCAAAGGAUAAAAGGUACUCCGGGGAUAACAGGCUGAUCUCCCCCAAGAGCUCACAUCGACGGGGGGGUUUGGCACCUCGAUGUCGGCUCGUCACAUCCUGGGGCUGGAGAAGGUCCCAAGGGUUAGGCUGUUCGCCUAUUAAAGUGGCACGCGAGCUGGGUUCAGAACGUCGUGAGACAGUUCGGUCCCUAUCUGUAGUGGGCGUAGGAAAAUUGCGAAGAUCUGACUCUAGUACGAGAGGACCGAGUCGGACGCACCUCUAGUGUACCAGUUAUGGCGCCAGCUGUAUCGCUGGGUAGCUAUGUGCGGAAUGGAUAAGCGCUGAAAGCAUCUAAGCGCGAAGCCAACUUCAAGAUGAGUUUUCCAUAUCAGGAUCCUGGCAGACUACCAGGUUGAUAGGCCGGAAAUGUAAAGACAGAGAUGUCAAAGUUGACCGGUACUAAUUGUCCGAAGACUUCUUGCA